CGACCAUUCGGGUACAUCCAAUAAAAUUGGAACGAUAUAGAGAAGAUUAGCAUGGCCCCUACGCAAGGAUGACACGCACAAAUAGAGAAAAGAGUUUU